UUAUAAGGAUUAAUUGUAUGUAUCCUUUCCUUUAUCUCCUACAGUCAUGUUGCCUUGAUGAGUGUUAUAUGGAUUAGCAAAACAGCAGUGUCAGAGGAACUGUGCUUUGCUGAUGCAAGUGGUUCAAGAGCUAACCCUGUUCUGAAGCAGAGUAAUAGCUCCAUCAUAUAGGGCGUGGAAGGUAGGUUGCCAAUUGUAACAAAGGGAAUUUUGAUACAUUUAUCUAUGAAAAUUAAACAUCUCAAAUUUACAUGAUUUGUAAGCAUAUAAUUGGACCUUUAAA
rnacentral:lncRNA from 12 species